UUUCAGUGUUGCCAGCAAGUGUUUGGUAGAGGGUUUGCUUCAGCAAGUUGGCCAGCUGUCGGACAUUGAAAAAUUCCUGCUCUACCUCAAGUUGCCCGUUGGCCGUCCUCCUGAUUCUGAUCCACUUAAACAACCCCUAAAUCCUCUUGGAAGUCGGUGUGAGAUUCAGCUAACCAUAACAUGGAUUCGUACACAUCUGGAAAUGAACAGCGAAGUUUCUUUACCCAAAAGGGAGGUUUACAAUGAAUAUAUGCACUACUGCAAUAUGAAUAACAUCAAGGCCCUAAGUACUGCUGAUUUUGGUAAAGUGAUGAAACAAGUGUUCCCUGGAGUAAGGCCACGUAGGCUGGGCCAGCGCGGGGCAUCAAAAUACUGCUAUUCGGGUUUAAGAAAAAAAUGGUCGUUAGAUCCUCCAGAACUGCCUGAUCUCAAUGAUAAUGUAACUAAAAAGAAUAUGGUAACUAUAAGUAUAUGUUUUGUAGGCAUUGUACAUAAUAUAUACAGAUUUUUUCAUAGUACCUACUGGAGAAUAGUAAUUGACUUUGCUUCUGUAAUAUGUAAAAGGUUAAUCAUAGUAGUUUCAUAGUUCAUGAUUUUUGUAAGAAUGGGUUUGCUUUUGCCAUCAGUUAUGCACUUUUUCAUUGAAGUUAAGAUUUUCUUCUUUAAAUUUAUAUGUAGUUUUCUUUUUUUAUACCAUAGGCUUUUAUUGUUAAAAUACUGUAAUAUUACGUAUACAUAGUGCUUUCUUUUGUCUUCCCUUGACUUUCUUCAUAUGGGUACUUAGUAAAAUAUCACCAUGGUCAUUAAAUAUUUACGAUUUCUGCAAUCUUCACAGUACCAUGAUAGUCAUCCAUUUCCUAAGAUUUUGAUCACUGCUAACUUAGUGAGUAUAAGUCAUACUGUAUCAGGCUAAGGCUUUUGUUCUUUGUUCUGUAUGGUUUUAGUCAAGUAAAAUGCCCUUGAAAUUUAAAUCUAAGCAUAUUUGCUAAGUUUAGUUUUCAUGUUUGACAGAUCAAAGAUUUAAUGUUAGAGUUACACUAGAUUUAUGGGGUUUGCAUAAUCUGUGCUUAUUGAAGUUAGUACGUAAAAGCAUGUCAGUUUAACUACACUUUUGAAUAUAUUUGAACAGUGUUAAAAUUUGUAUUUCUGAGUUGUGAUAGGAUGUUGACUACCUUGAAUAUUUCCUGAUAAGUUGCACUGGGGAUAGAACGUUUUUCUUGUAAAGUAAUGGCAAUUGGACUAGACAAGUACUUUUUCUGCAUACUUAUGUAUGUGGAAAGUACCUUAUUUCAGAAUUUAGAAGCCUUUUCAUCAUAAAAAUAAAUCCCGUUUAGAGUAAUUCUGAUCGUCAGGAGCUUUUCAGAUGAUGUAUUGACAGAAACCUCUUGUGAAGUGAAUGAAGAGUUGAGUUGCUUUUUUUAUGAAUGGUAUUUCCUUGGUAAUGGUUACAGUGUUCUUACAUGAGAAUGAGAAAAUAAGUUGCUAUCCCAGAAAUGUUGUGUUUGCUCUUGAUACUUGUUUUUGAUUGUGAAACAUGUGAAAUCUUUAGAAUAUCCUUAAAUAUAUAAAAUGCAUUGUUUUAUUUGUGAUGGCCAUCUUCCAACCCGUGUAGCAGAAAGUAAAGGUAAAGGCUGUUUAUGAGUUCUCUCUUACCAGAGCAUACCUUAAUAUUUUAAGAAGAUAUUCUUGUAUUAAACAAUUUAGGUCUCUCUUGUUUUGAUUAAUGACAACAUACAUCUGUAAAGAGAUAAAGCUUGAAAUAAAAAGAUUAGUAAUAAAAGUAUGGUAUUUUUAAAAUAUCAAUGAUUAUUUUCUGAUAAAGUAAAAACUAUAGCCCUUGAUUCUCAGAUCCUCCCACA